UGGGGAAUAUUGGACAAUGGGCGAAAGCCUGAUCCAGCCAUGCCGCGUGUGUGAAGAAGGUCUUCGGAUUGUAAAGCACUUUAAGUUGGGAGGAAGGGCAGUUACCUAAUACGUGAUUGUUUUGACGUUACCGACAGAAUAAGCACCGGCUAACUCUGUGCCAGCAGCCGCGGUAAUACAGAGGGUGCAAGCGUUAAUCGGAAUUACUGGGCGUAAAGCGCGCGUAGGUGGUUAGUUAAGUUGGAUGUGAAAUCCCCGGGCUCAACCUGGGAACUGCAUUCA
rnacentral:rRNA from 1 species